rnacentral:rRNA from 1 species
CCCUUAGAUGUUCUGGGCUGCACGCGCGCUACACUGAUGCGUUCAACGAGUUUAUGACCUUGCCCGAUAGGGUUGGGUAAUCUUUUUAAAUCGCAUCGUGAUGGGGAUAGAUUAUUGCAAUUAUUAAUCUUCAACGAGGAAUUCCUAGUAAGCGCGAGUCAUCAGCUCGUGCUGAUUACGUCCCUGCCCUUUGUACACACCGCCCGCCGCUCCUACCGAUUGAGUGAUCCGGUGAAUAAUUCGGACUGCAGCAGUGUUCAGUUCCUGAACGUUGCAGCGGAAAGUUUAGUGAACCUUAUCACUUAGAGGAAGGAGAANUCGUANCA